rnacentral:rRNA from 1 species
AGAGUGAACGCUGGCGGCAGGCCUAACACAUGCAAGUCGAACGAGAAAGGGGAGCAAUCCCUGAGUACAGUGGCGACCGGGUGAGUAACACGUGACUAACCUACCCUCGAGUGUGGAAUAACAUCGGGAAACCGAUGCUAAUACCGCAUAACAUCGCAAGAUCAAAGGAGUAAUCCGCUUGAGGAGGGGGUCGCGGCUGAUUAGCUAGUUGGCGGGGUAAUGGCCCACCAAGGCGAAGAUCGGUAUCCGGCCUGAGAGGGCGCACGGACACACUGGAACUGAAACACGGUCCAGACUCCUACGGGAGGCAGCAGUGGGGAAUUUUGCGCAAUGGGGGAAACCCUGACGCAGCAACGCCGCGUGGAGGAUGAAGCCCCUUGGGGCGUAAACUCCUUUCGACCAAGACGAUAAUGACGGUACUGGUGGAAGAAGCACCGGCUAACUCUGCGCCAGCAGCCGC